rnacentral:lncRNA from 1 species
GCAAAAAGGAAAACAUUAGCUGUCAAGGAGAUAGCAACUGUAGGCAGCAGCUCCUAGAGCAAAGGGAACAAAGGGAAGACAUUGGAAUCAUUCAACUUACAUUCUCAGAGGAGAGGAGGGCCCUGCAGAACUGAAAAGGCACCAUUGAGAAGGAUCCGAAGCUCAGCUGGUGCUGUCCUCAGGAUUCACAGUCCCUCCCACAAGCUGGACCCAGGCA